rnacentral:rRNA from 1 species
CGUGCCUCCACCCACGCCGGCGUCGGCGGGCGUAUUUCGCCUCACAGUAGGUCGCCGCGACCCGUUGCUUUUGGGGACGUCGAAGGCCCGGACGGAUUGGUACCCUACCGGCUGGGGAUGCGGCUUCGGCUUCUCCUCUUGUCCGGUGGGCGAAACCGCCGGUGUCCUGGCUGCCCUGCGACGGUCGUAGAGACGAGCCCUCCCCUUCGGGGGGGCGGCUCUCGCGGCGUGCAAAAGGUCGGUGAUCCACCCGACCCGUCUUGAAACACGGACCAAGGAGUCUAACAUGUGUGCGAGUCAGUGGGCGCACUAAACCCAGAGGCGUAAUGAAAGUGACACGGGUUCGGCUGUCGCCUCGUGUGGCAGCCGGACUCAGGGCCGAUCCCUCACCGGUUGCCCUCGCUUCUCUCCCGCGUCUCGGUAAGCCGGGUGAGCUAUUUUCCCCGGCCGCUGCUGCGGGGCUCGGGGGGAGGCGGGGUUGCGAUGGUGUCCGUAAAAAAGAGCCUGCUGUUGCAGGGGGGCGCAGGCCCGGGACUUGCCAGGACGCCGCGAGACUGUCACUUUGCUGUGAGGCUCUCGGGCCGAUCAGCGGGUCAUGCGUGCAGUCGGCAAGUACCAUGAGCAGACAUGUUGGGACCCGAAAGAUGGUGAACUAUGCCUGGCCAGGAUGAAGCCAGAGGAAACUCUGGUGGAGGUCCGUAGCGAUUC